rnacentral:hammerhead_ribozyme from 1 species
AGCCGAAACGCCCCAGAUCGGGGCGUCGCGGGGCGGCUGGCCUCCCCCGCCUGAUGAUGGCAGGCCGAG